UGUACUUUAAGGUUUUUGCAC
rnacentral:siRNA from 1 species